rnacentral:rRNA from 1 species
UACGGAAUGGGGGCGGGCCCUAAUACAUGCAAGUCGAGCGGACAGAUGGGAGCUUGCUCCCUGAUGUUAGCGGCGGACGGGUGAUUAACACGUGGGUAACCUGCCUGUAAGACUGGGAUAACUCCGGGAAACCGGGGCUAAUACCGGAUGGUUGUUUGAACCGCAUGGUUCAGACAUAAAAGGUGGCUUCGGCUACCACUUCCAGAUGGACCCGCGGCGCAUUAGCUAGUUGGUGAGGUAACGGCUCACCAAGGCGACGAUGCGUAGCCGACCUGAGAGGGUGAUCGGCCACUCUGGGACUGAGACACGGCCCAGACUCCUACGGGAGGCAGCAGUGGGGAAUCUUCCGCAAUGCAGGAAAGUUUAAAGGAGCAACGGCGGGUGCCCCCCCCCCCGCUCUCCGGAG